AACGAACGCUGGCGGCAUGCCUAACACAUGCAAGUCGAACGAGGGAACCGCUUCGGUGGUUUCCUAGUGGCGCACGGGUGAGUAACGCGUGGGAACCUGCCCUGUGGUGCGGAAUAACUC
rnacentral:rRNA from 1 species